rnacentral:rRNA from 1 species
CCUACGGGUGGCAGCAGUGAGGAAUAUUGGUCAAUGGUCGGGAGACUGAACCAGCCAAGCCGCGUGAGGGAUGAAGGUACAGAGUAUCGUAAACCUCUUUUGUCAGGGAACAAAGGCGGGGACGUGUCCCCGGAUGAUUUUACCUUAAGAAAAAGCAUCGGCUAACGCCGUGCCAUCAGCCGCGGUACUAUGGAGGAUGCGAGCGUUAUCCGGGUUGAUUGGGUUUAAAGGGUGCGCAGGCGGUCUAUUAAGUCAGCGGUAAAAGCCAGGGGCUAAACCCAGGACCGCCGUUGAAACUGGCAGUCUCGAGUUGGAGAGAAGUAUGCGGAAUGCGAGGUGUAGCGGUGAAAUGCAUAGAUAUCGCGCAGAACUCCGAUUGCGAAGGCAGCAUGCCGGCUCCACACUGACGCUGAGGCACGAAAGCGUGGGUAUCGAACAGGAUUAGAUACCCCAGUAGUC